rnacentral:rRNA from 1 species
UACGGGGGGGGUAAGCGUUGUUCGGAAUUACUGGGCGUAAAGGGCUCGUAGGCGGCCAACUAAGUCAGACGUGAAAUCCCUCAGCUUAACUGGGGAACUGCGUCUGAUACUGGAUGGCUUGGAUUUGGGAGAGGGAUGCGGAAUUCCAGGUGUAGCGGUGAAAUGCGUAGAUAUGCGGAGGAACACCGAUGGCGAAGGCAAUCCCCUGGGCCUGCACUGACGCUCAUGCACGAAAGCGUGGGGAGCAAACAGG